CAGUAGCCGCGGGAAUACGUAGGUCCCGAGCGUUGUCCGGAUUUAUUGGGCGUAAAGCGAGCGCAGGCGGUUAGAUAAGUCUGAAGUUAAAGGCUGUGGCUUAACCAUAGUACGCUUUGGAAACUGUUUAACUUGAGUGCAAGAGGGGAGAGUGGAAUUCCAUGUGUAGCGGUGAAAUGCGUAGAUAUAUGGAGGAACACCGGUGGCGAAAGCGGCUCUCUGGCUUGUAACUGACGCUGAGGCUCGAAAGCGUGGGGCGCAAACAGGAUUAGAGACCCCAGUAGUCCCUGUCUCUUAUACA
rnacentral:rRNA from 1 species